rnacentral:snoRNA from 1 species
AUCCCCUGAUGAGGACAUUUACGAAGCAACUUCUUGAAUCUUUCUCUUGCCUCAUAUAAGGACUCAUCAUCCAAUUGUUGGAAAGUAGUUAUCUCCUUUCGCAACUU